UUAAUUAGGAAUACUUUAGGGAUAUAUGAUUUAUUAAAUGAUGUCUAAUUAUGUGCUUAUGUGUAUUUGUGUGUUUAUGAAUUUUAAAUUGAUUUUGACAUGUUAAGUGUGUUUUUAUGUAUUGUGUAAUUAUUGUGGUUUGAGAUUAAAUUAGAUAGUAGUAUAAUUUAGGAGUUAGUUAUGGGAGAAAAUAAAUAAUUAGAGGUUUUGGACUUAUUUAUGAGAGAAAGAGGUAGAGAGAGAAGUAAAAAGAAGGGUUUUGGUGAAAGUUGAAGAGAAAGAAGAGAUGAGGAAUGCAAAUCUCGUUUUCAACACAGCAGCCUCACAAAAACUUUGAUUCCCGAUUCGUUAACCGUUGGAUGUCCUUCAAAUUUUGAGGGUAGGUUCAUAACAUCUGAGGCCAACUUUUGACCGUUCGGAUCGUUGAAACAAGGUCUGAGGAGGAAGAAAUCGAGUUCGGAUUGCACCAGAUGUGUUGGGGAGAAAAAGAGGGAAAAAGGCAAGAACAAGGUGGAGCUUCAAGAACCAUUGCCAUCCUCCAUUUUCUUUACAACCAAAGGUUUUCCAGGUUGUUGAGUCUCGUGUGCUUGAGUUCUUGAUGAAGCUCCGCUCUGAUUGUGACACGGGGAAGAGUUUUUAGAGUCAUUUACUCUGUCAUUUUAUUUUUAAUUUAAAAUGUUUCUUGUUAGAAAAGAAAAAUAUUUUUAUUAGUGAUGCUUAUGCUAAUUUAUUUUCAUUAGCAAUAUGAAGAAAAAUGUAAUACCUUAAACCAAUAUUUUCAUAAGUUAUUUUGACUCCAAGCCUAUUUAUUAUUUAUAACCGCUGCGUAAUUUUGAAAAGCA